rnacentral:ncRNA from 1 species
UAAAAGACGCUGAAGAGAAGAGUAGCUUGUGGCCUAGAUAACAGAGAGCGUGGAUGGUGUAAGCACGCAUUUAGCAAAAUGAGUGAAGAUGAGCUUGGAGUCUGUUGAUUGUGAAAGCAGUUAAUACGGAACGGGACCGUUAUCACUCGUGACUUUUGGCUAAGGCAGAAGUUAGUAAGGUAGUCGAUGUGAGUCGACUGUAAAAAAGGUGGUAUCACGCAAAAGCGUCCUUUCA